rnacentral:rRNA from 1 species
GAUGAACGCUGGCGGCGUGCUUAACACAUGCAAGUCGAACGGUGAAGGCGGAGCUUGCUCUGCUGGAUCAGUGGCGAACGGGUGAGUAACACGUGAGCAAUCUGCCCCUGACUCUGGGAUAAGCGCUGGAAACGGCGUCUAAUACAGGAUACGAGCUGCGAAGGCAUCUUCAGCAGCUGGAAAGAAUUUCGGUCAGGGAUGAGCUCGCGGCCUAUCAGCUUGUUGGUGAGGUAAUGGCUCACCAAGGCGUCGACGGGUAGCCGGCCUGAGAGGGUGAUCGGCCACACUGGGACUGAGACACGGCCCAGACUCCUACGGGAGGCAGCAGUGGGGAAUAUUGCACAAUGGGCGAAAGCCUGAUGCAGCAACGCCGCGUGAGGGACGACGGCCUUCGGGUUGUAAACCUCUUUUAGCAGGGAAGAAGCGAAAGUGACGGUACCUGCAGAAAAAGCGCCGGCUAACUACGUG